rnacentral:rRNA from 1 species
AUAACCUGCCCUUGGGACCUGCAUAACCCCGGGAAACUGGGGAUAAUUCGGGAUAACGCAUAUGUGCUGGAAUGCUUUAUGCGUAAAAAGGAUUCGUCCGCCCAAGGAUGGGUCUGCGGCCUAUCAGGUAGUAGUGGGUGUAAUGUACCUACUAGCCGACAACGGGUACGGGUUGUGAGAGCAAGAGCCCGGAGAUGGAUUCUGAGACAUGAAUCCAGGCCCUACGGGGCGCAGCAGGCGCGAAAACUUUACAAUGCGGGAAACCGUGAUAAGGGGACACCGAGUGUCAGCAUCAUAUGCUGGCUGUCCAGGUGUGUAAAAUACACCUGUUAGCAAGGGCCGGGCAAGACCGGUGCCAGCCGCCGCGGUAACACCGGCGGCCCGAGUGGUGAUCGUGAUUAUUGGGUCCAAAGGGUCCGUAGCCGGUUUGGUCAGUCCUCCGGGAAAUCUGAUAGCUCAACUAUUAGGCUAUCGGGGGAUACUACCAGACUUGGAACCGGGAGAGGUAAGAGGUACUACAGGGGUAGGAGUGAAAUCUUGUAAUCCCUGUGGGACCACCUGUGGCGAAGGCGUCUUACCAGAACGGGUUCGACGGUGAGGGACGAAAGCUGGGGGCACGAACCGGAUUAGAUACCCGGGUAGUCCCAGCCGUAAACGAUGCUCGCUAGGUGUCAGGCAUGGCGCGACCGUGUCUGGUGCCGCAGGGAAGCCGUGAAGCGAGCCACCUGGGAAGUACGGCCGCAAGGCUGA